UACGUAGGGGGCAAGCGUUGUCCGGAUUUAUUGGGCGUAAAGAGCGUGUAGGCGGCUGGGUAGGUCCGUUGUGAAAACUCGAGCUCAACCUCGAGACGCCGAUGGAAACCCUCCAGCUAGAGUCCGGAAGAGGAGAGUGGAAUUCCUGGUGUAGCGGUGAAAUGCGCAGAUAUCAGGAAGAACACCAAUGGCGAAAGCAGCUCUCUGGGACGGUACUGACGCUGAGACGCGAAAGCGUGGGGAGCGAACAGG
rnacentral:rRNA from 1 species